UACGUAGGUCCCGAGCGUUGUCCGGAUUUAUUGGGCGUAAAGCGAGCGCAGGUGGUUUAUUAAGUCUGGUGUAAAAGGCAGUGGCUCAACCAUUGUAUGCAUUGGAAACUGGGAGACUUGAGUGCAGAAGAGGAGAGUGGAACUCCAUGUGUAGCGGUGAAAUGCGUAGAUAUAUGGAAGAACACCAGUGGCGAAAGCGGCUCUCUGGUCUGUAACUGACGCUGAGGUUCGAAAGCGUGGGUAGCAAAUAGG
rnacentral:rRNA from 1 species